rfam:Toxoplasma gondii VEG unplaced genomic scaffold scaffold00001, whole genome shotgun sequence.
ACACUCGACCAGAUUUUUUUGAUUUUCGAUUUCCAAACGCGAUUUAUUCCAAUCCGCCUUGUAGCAGACUAACCGGUGCACUUUUGCACGUGUACGCAAGAC